UAUGUAGGGUGCAAGCGUUGUCCGGAAUUAUUGGGCGUAAAGAGCUCGUAGGCGGUUUGUCGCGUCUGCUGUGAAAACUCAGGGCUUAACCCUGAGCCUGCAGUGGGUACGGGCAGAUUAGAGUGUGGUAGGGGAGAUCGGAAUUCCUGGUGUAGCGGUGGAAUGCGCAGAUAUCAGGAGGAACACCGGUGGCGAAGGCGGAUCUCUGGGCCAUAACUGACGCUGAGGAGCGAAAGCAUGGGGAGCGAACAGG
rnacentral:rRNA from 1 species